GUUGCGCGGGGUUGUUGUUGGUAGUGGUGGCGGUGUGUGUGUGUAUUUACACUUAAAAAAUAACUGCGCAGUAUCCUUUCCUGGGAAGUUGGUUUGCCGCCGCUGCCUGGAUAUUAGCACAGAGAUAGCGCCAGGCCGGGCUUCUAAGAAUUCGCGCUUGUGGCUAUCCAAGACUCCGUCUCGAAAGGUGCUUGUCGGACUCCUUCACCGGAGUCCUCCAGGCGACUGGCGGCCUUCACUGGAAAGCUGAGGCCAGGGCCCUGGAAAUAUCUGGUAGCCAGGGAGGGGGAACCCCUACCAUCAACGCCACGGGUGUGCAUUGGUCAAAGGCAGCAUUGCCUGGUGAGUGUUUAUUGGAGCUUUUAACCCUGAGCCCUGGGCCCAGUCAGCAAGUCUAGAAUCUAGAACAGCAGGGGGUGGUUCUUGGGGGAUGGGGGUGAGCCCAGAGUGGUGGUGGCAUGGGGCUGCUCUUGGAGUUGAGAGAGGCAAGGACUGAGAGACAUGAUAGAGGCUGCUAGAGAAGUGGCAACUCUCAGACACAAAUUUGUGAAAAACAGCCAGAAAAGGCGCCACACCCCAGGAAGAAAAAUGCACUCCAAAGACACAUGAAUGCCAAGAUAUACACAAACACAUACUGUCAGACACAUUCACAGAAACGACCUAGAUACACAUGCAGCCAGAGACUGACAUACACUUUCAGGCAAGCACACUGUCAGAAAAAUAGUUAUGUCCUAGAAUGACACCCAGAGAUACACUGUUACAGAAAGGCACUCACGCAGACCUACAUUUGCCAUGUGAUGACACAGAAAUGUCCCGUCACACUGGCAGAACUUGUCACAAACACACUGUCACCAUCAGAUAUGCACUGUCACAGCAAGACUUGUACUGUCCCAGAAAUGAGAGACGCAGAGUCUGUCACAGGAAGAUGCACAGAUGCUCCAGGGACACACAUGCACUGCUCUGAAGGCAGACAUGUACUGAUGUGAUAGAAUCACAUUUUGUGGCAGUGUCACAAAAACAGACAUGGAUAGACCUGUUCAGACACAGACAUACAUACACCAUGACACAUGCAGUUUAUCAAUGGAACAAACUGUCCAGAAAUAGCUACCCAGAAUCUGUUGCAGGAACACAAACGGACAUCCACCCCAUCAGACAGAAACCACAGAUGCACUGUCACAGACAGACCCACGCAGGCAUGCACGCAUCUUGGAUUUAGACACAAACUGUCAGAGAUAAGAGUCCCACACUCAGUCACCAUCUGACACACCUGGAAACAAGCCCUUCAUCA
rnacentral:lncRNA from 1 species